GUUUCUGUAGUUAAAUUAAUAUAACGACGGCUUUUCAGGCCGUAGGUCUUGGAGAGAAGCCGAGCAGGAAUU
rnacentral:tRNA from 1 species